rnacentral:rRNA from 1 species
UGCGUAGGUGGUUUGAUAAGUCAGAGGUGAAAGCCCACCGCUUAACGGUGGAACUGCCUUUGAUACUGUCAGACUUGAAUAUGGUUGAGGUAGGCGGAAUGUGUUGUGUAGCGGUGAAAUGCAUAGAUAUGACACAGAACGCCGAUUGCGAAGGCAGCUUACUAAGCCAUUAUUGACGCUGAGGCACGAAAGCGUGGGGAGCGAACAGGAUUAGAUACCCUGGUAGUCC